CUCCUCUGGCCGUGCUGCAGCCCCCGGCUUCCUUCGCAGCCGCCAGCAGCCCCCAGCAGCCCCGCCUACCAGCACAGAGAUCACGGGCUGGCAGCCCAGAGCGGGCAGUAUGAGCCACUGCAUCCUGGGACACCACUCUCCCCUCCAGUACGAUGAAGACCAACGCCUGAUGCUGCUCCAUCACCAGCAGAAGAACAGCAGCUCUGCAGAGACCCGUCCUGCCAGCAGAGCAUCACGGAGAAGAAGACGCGCCUUCUGCUCACAGGAAGACGAGACCUUGCACUUCACUUGACCCCCUCCUCCAGGAGGAAGCAGGAUCAGCGCCCGGUGCUGCCCCAGUGCCGGCAGAAGAACAGCGGCUCUUGGAAGCGUGACCUGCUGGGAGAUCGUCGGGGAGAAGAGGACGCGCCUUCUGCGCCGAGGGAGCCUUCUCCUGUAAUCCCACCUUCAAUGAGACGAUGCUCAGCUGCUCCGGAACAGCCACGGAGGGAACGGACGGAAGAGGAGAGCCCAGAUGACUGCGCCCGUGUGAAGUGCCAUGCAGAGACUGAAUGCAGAGACUGAGCCAGCAAACAACGGAGUAGAUAGCAUAGAGAAUUAGUUAACACUAAAAUGUAUUAGUAUAGCAUAGUGCAGUUGUCAAAUAGCUUUGUAAAUAAAUUCACUUUGUUUGUAUCCUUAUCUUGUGUUGUGUAAAAUGAUGGGGAUGGGUAGUCUGAUACUUCAGGAAAUAAAUGAUUUGGA
rnacentral:lncRNA from 1 species